UACAGAGGUCUCAAGCGUUGUUCGGAUUCAUUGGGCGUAAAGGGUGCGUAGGCGGCGAGGUAAGUCAGAUGUGAAAUCCCGGAGCUUAACUCCGGAACUGCAUUUGAUACUGCUUUGCUUGAGGACUGGAGAGGAGAUCGGAAUUCACGGUGUAGCAGCGAAAUGCGUAGAUAUCGUGAGGAAGGCCAGUGGCGAAGGCGGAUCUCUGGACAGUUCCUGACGCUGAGGCACGAAGGCCAGGGGAGCAAACGGG
rnacentral:rRNA from 1 species